AUUGAACGCUGGCGGCAGGCCUAACACAUGCAAGUCGAGCGAGCGUCGGACGGGGGAGUGUUGUAUGGGGACAGCCCGCUAGAGGGGGAUAACACCUGUAAAAGGUAGAUAUUACCGCAUACUACCGGAUAACGCAUAGGGGAUUAGCUAGUAGGUGAGGUAAUGGCUCACCUAGGCGACGAUCCCUAGCUGGUCUGAGAGGAUGAUCAGCCACACUGGGACUGAGACACGGCCCAGACUCCUACGGAGGCAGCAGUGGGGAAUAUUGCACAAUGGGCGCAAGCCUGAUGCAGCCAUGCCGCGUGUAUGAAGAAGGCCCUAGGGUUGUAAAGUACUUUCAGUCGGGAGGCGUUACUGACAGAAGAAGCACCGGCUAACUCCGUGCCAGCAGCCGCGGUAAUUC
rnacentral:rRNA from 1 species